UACGUAGGGUGCAAGCGUUAAUCGGAAUUACUGGGCGUAAAGCGUGCGCAGGCGGUUUUGUAAGUCUGUCGUGAAAGCCCCGGGCUUAACCUGGGAAUUGCGAUGGAGACUGCAAGGCUUGAAUCUGGCAGAGGGGGGUAGAAUUCCACGUGUAGCAGUGAAAUGCGUAGAGAUGUGGAGGAACACCGAUGGCGAAGGCGGCCCCCUGGGUCAAGAUUGACGCUCAUGCACGAAAGCGUGGGGAGCAAACAGG
rnacentral:rRNA from 1 species